GGUCAAGUUAUUAAGGGUGCAGGGCGGAUGCCUUGGCACUAGGAGCCGAUGAAGGACGUGAUAAGCUGCGAUAAGCUUCGGGGAGUUGCACGUAAACUUUGAUCCGAAGAUUUCCGAAUGAGGAAACUCACUUAGAGUAAUGUCUAAGUAUCAUUAAGUGAAUACAUAGCUUAAUGAGGGGAACUCAGGGAACUGAAACAUCUAAGUACCUGAAGGAAGAGAAAGAAAUUCGAUUCCGUAAGUAGCGGCGAGCGAACGCGGAUUAGCCCAAACCAAUAAAGUUUUCUUUAUUGGGGUUGCGGACAUAUCAUAACGAAGAGGUAUCGUAAUUGAAGAGGUUUGGAAAGACCCACCACAGAAGGUAAUAGUCCUGUAUGUUAAACGAGAAGACUUUAGAUAUGAUCCAGAGUACCACGGGACACGUGAAACCCUGUGGGAAGCAGGAGGGACCACCCUCCAAGGCUAAAUACUACCUAGUGACCGAUAGCGUAUAGUACCGUGAGGGAAAGGUGAAAAGAACCCCGGGAGGGGAGUGAAAUAGAACCUGAAACCCUGCACUUACAAGCUGUGGAAGCA
rnacentral:rRNA from 1 species